CAGCGCCAUCUCCGCUUCCAGCUCCUGCUCCAUCCGCUUUUGGGUCUCAUCCAUUGCUUUCAGCUUUUGCUCCAGAGUGAGCGCAGCAUCGGAUUUGAUACUGGAACGGUCCGAUUCGUCACCGCUUCUCUUGCCGAUAUUCCCGCACAGCGGAGGUGAAACCAUAGCUGACAUCCAUCGCAACCAAUCAUCUGCUCAUUCUCCGUGGACAAUUCAUCGCAUCCUGCACACGGAGUUUCAGUGAGGUCAAGGAUUUUCGCAUUUGGAUCCGUCAUGGUGCGACAAAGCAACAAACGAUAUAAGUGGGCAACUCCCAAACAGGU